rfam:Yersinia mollaretii ATCC 43969 contig01513, whole genome shotgun sequence.
GGGGCUAUAGCUCAGCUGGGAGAGCGCCUGCCUUGCACGCAGGAGGUCAGCGGUUCGAUCCCGCUUAGCUCCA